CUCAGACGUCGCCUUUUUCAAUUUCGUGAUCCUUCAAAAAUUGUUAUAUUGCACUCUUUUGAUGCAGAUGAGGAUGAUGAGUCUUAGGCUUUGGCUCAAGGGGAGAGCGAUCUGGGAUUGCUCUCGUGCAUCGAUAUUAUUAUCCUAGUCUUUUAUAUAUUUAUCUUUUGUAAUAUAUUUGGGAUGACUGUAUAAAUUUUUAAAGAUAAAUUAUUUUGGAUACCUGUAUUUAAAUUUCUGGUACUUAGUUAACUUAUAAUAUUAUCCGCUGCAAAUUUUGUUGUGCA